GAUGAACGCUGGCGGCGUGCUUAAUACAUGCAAGUCGAGCGGACGGACGAUAAUCUUGUUUCUCUCAUGUUAGCCGCGGACGUGAGAGUAACACGUGUAUAACCUACCUAUAAGACUGGUAAAACUUCGGGAAACGGGAUCUAAUCCCGUAUAAUAUUUUGAACCGCAUAGUUCGAUAGUGAAAGACGGCCUUUCUGUCACUUCUAGAUGGAUCCGCGCUGCAUUAUCUAGUUGGUAAGGUAACGGCUUACCAAGGCAACGAUGCAUAGCCGACCUGUGAGGCUGAUCGGCCACACGAGAGCUGGACCACGGUCCAGACGCCUACGGGAGGGCGCAGUAUGGAACGUUACGCAGUAGGCGAAAGCAUGGCGGAGCAACCCCGAGUGAGAGAUGAAGGUCUUCGGAUCGUAAAGCUCUGUUAUUAGGGAAGAACCUAUGUGUACGUAAAUGUGGACAUCUUGACGGUAAUUAAUAAGAAAGCCACGGCUAACUACGUG
rnacentral:rRNA from 1 species